UGUGGCACAGUGGUUAAGCAUUCAGCUGCUAAUUGAAAGGUUGAUGGUUUGAAUCCACCCA
rnacentral:tRNA from 1 species